rnacentral:tRNA from 1 species
CGGGGUGUGGCGCAGUUCGGUAGCGCACUUGGCUGGGGGUCAAGUGGUCGCAGGUUCAAAUCCUGUCACCCCGA